rnacentral:rRNA from 1 species
AUGAACAGUUUGUAUGUGCCAGAUGAUGAAUUUUCUGAUUCCGAGCAAGUUCUUAUUAAUAACAUUUCUGCAGUGUCCGUGUUUCAUGAUGUGUUGUUCACAAGGUUAUUCAAAACACCUCGUAACACCUCCAUAUUAACUGGUGCCCAGAAAACAAAAGAGUUGCUAGAGGGACAUCCAGUUAGAUUUUACGAACAAAUUCGUCUUGAGAAGCACAUAUUCUACUUGCUGCGAGAUGCUUUGUGUGAGAGAGGCUUACUGAAGGAUACAAAGCGAAUGACAGUGGACGAACAACUACUCAUGUUUCUACAUACCAUUGGUCACAAUGUUAGGAACUGUGUCAUCCAAGAUAGAUAUCAGCAUUCUGGUGAACCAAUCAGCCGACACUUCAACAUUGUUUUAGAUGCCAUAAAUGGGUUGCGUGAUGUUUGCAUAACAGAUCCAAGGAAUGAAAUCCCAGCGAAAAUAUUGGGUGAUGCAAGGUUCUACCCAUAUUUCAAGAACUGCCUAGGAGCAAUUGAUGGGACACACAUUGAGGCAAAAAUCAGGCUAGAUAAGCAAACUCCUUAUAGAAAUAGGCAUGGUUACCCCUCUCAAAAUGUAAUGGCAGCAGUGUCAUUUGACAUGACAUUCGCAUAUGUCGCUGCUGGAUGGGAAGGUUCUGCAUCAGAUCAAGCAGUUCUAAGAUGGGCUGUUACUAGUGGGGGUUUUGUUGUUCCUGAAGAUUCUGACCGUGCUAUCAAACCUUACGUGCAGGUUAAUCAUCAUGAUGAGGUGUUCGAGCUUUAUGAGCAUGGGGAAGCACAACAACAUGUUGACCAUGGUGAUCAGCAAGUUAGAGGGCAAGCAAGAGAAGAUGAAUGA